GUCCAAAAAUCCUACACGCCUCAUGCAUUAUCCAUAGCUUCCAACCUUCGAAUUUUCAGGGUUUGACUAGGAUGCUCAACAUCAGAUGCACCAACUAGCUGAGAAUAUCAGAACUAGACAUCAUAAACCAAUAUGCCUAAGUCCCAUCAGAUGUUUUCUUUUCUUCUAUCCACUGAAUUUCCUGCAAAAUUGAGACAAUUAAGUAAUGAAUACCAGAAAAAGUACCAAUCUGCAUUAUCACUGCUCACAAUGAUGGAGAGAACAAAUAAACAAUAUAAACUACCACGGUAAAUGCCUUUUCUUCCACU